rnacentral:rRNA from 1 species
AUUGAACGCUGGCGGCAUGCUUUACACAUGCAAGUCGAACGGUAACAGGCCGCAAGGUGCUGACGAGUGGCGAACGGGUGAGUAAUGCAUCGGAACGUGCCCAGUCGUGGGGGAUAACGCAGCGAAAGCUGCGCUAAUACCGCAUACGAUCUGUGGAUGAAAGCGGGGGACCUUCGGGCCUCGCGCGAUUGGAGCGGCCGAUGUCAGAUUAGGUAGUUGGUGGGGUAAAGGCUCACCAAGCCGACGAUUUGUAGCUGGUCUGAGAGGACGACCAGCCACACUGGGACUAAGACACGGCCCAGACUCCUACGGGAGGCAGCAGUGGGGAAUUUUGGACAAUGGGGGCAACCCUGAUCCAGCAAUGCCGCGUGCAGGAAGAAGGCCUUCGGGUUGUAAACUGCUUUUGUACGGAACGAAAAGGCUCUGGUUAAUACCUGGGGCACAUGACGGUACCGUAAGAAUAAGCACCGGCUAACUACGUGCCAGCCGCCGCGGUAACAC